AGAACUUAGCAGAGAUGCUUUGGUGCCUUCGGGAACUCUGAGACAGGUGCUGCAUGGCUGUCGUCAGCUCGUGUUGUGAAAUGUUGGGUUAAGUCCCGNAACGAGCGCAACCCUUUAUCCUUUGUUGCCAGCGGUUCGGCCGGGAACUCAAAGGAGACUGCCGGUGAUAAACCGGAGGAAGGUGGGGAUGACGUCAAGUCAUCAUGGCCCUUACGGCCAGGGCUACACACGUGCUACAAUGGCGCAUACAAAGAGAAGCGACCUCGCGAGAGCAAGCGGACCUCAUAAAGUGCGUCGUAGUCCGGAUUGGAGUCUGCAACUCGACUCCAUGAAGUCGGAAUCGCUAGUAAUCGUAGAUCAGAAUGCUACGGUGAAUACGUUCCCGGGCCUUGUACACACCGCCCGUCACACCAUGGGAGUGGGUUGCAAAAGAAGUAGGUAGCUUAACCUUCGGGAGGGCGCUUACCACUUUGUGAUUCAUGACUGGGGUGAAGUCGUAACAAGGUAAGCGUAGCGAG
rnacentral:rRNA from 1 species